rnacentral:rRNA from 1 species
UACGUAGGGGGCGAGCGUUGUCCGGAUUUAUUGGGCGUAAAGAGCGUGUAGGCGGCCAGGUAGGUCUGCUGUGAAAACUCGAGGCUCAACCUCGAGACGUCGGCGGAAACCAUCUGGCUAGAGUCCGGAAGAGGAGACUGGAAUUCCUGGUGUAGCGGUGAAAUGCGCAGAUAUCAGGAGGAACACCGGUGGCGAAGGCGGGUCUCUGGGCCGAUACUGACGCUGAGGAGCGAAAGCGUGGGGAGCGAACAGG